AGCUCCAAUAGCGUAUAUUAAAGUUGUUGCAGUUAAAAAGCUCGUAGUUGGAUUUGUGGCGUACGGUGGGUUCCGGGCACUUGUUGUCUGAGUAACUUGCUGUUGCCAUCCUUGGGUGGAACCUGUGUGGCAUUAGGUUGUCGUGCAGGGGAUGCCCAUCAUUUACUGUGAAAAAAUUAGAGUGUUCAAAGCAGGCUUAUGCCGUUGAAUAUAUUAGCAUGGAAUAAUGAGAUAGGGCCACGGCGGUCUAUUUUGUUGGUUUGCACGUUGUGGUAAUGAUUAACAGGAACGGUUGGGGGUAUUCGUAUUCAAUUGUCAGAGGUGAAAUUCUUGGAUUUGUGGAAGACGAACUACUGCGAAAGCAUUUACCAAGGAUGUUUUCAUUAAUCAAGAACGAAAG
rnacentral:rRNA from 1 species